UACGUAGGGUGCAGGCGUUAAUCGGAAUUACUGGGCGUAAAGCGUGCGCAGGCGGUUUGCUAAGACAGGUGUGAAAUCCCCGGGCUUAACCUGGGAACUGCGCUUGUUACUGGCAGGCUUGAGUGUGGCAGAGGGGGGUGGAAUUCCGACGUGUAGCAGUGAAAUGCGUAGAGAUGUGGGAGGAACACCGAUGGCGAAGGCAGCCCCCUGGGCUAACACUGACGCUCAUGCACGAAAGCGUGGGGAGCAAACAGG
rnacentral:rRNA from 1 species